UUUCAUUUAAUAUUUUAUAUACAGUCCAGUCAGUUGCAACAACAAAUAAAGCAGCAGGAAACAGCCAAGUACACAUGCAAGUGAUUGUUAUGAGGAUUGCAAAACUUUUAAAUAUCAGAAACUGAAGAAAGCAUUGAUAAUCAGCAGAUAUCAAAAAAGCGCAAAAGUACUGAUUAUACAACUCUUUUAAAGUUGAGGAAGAAUUUUAUGUUAAUGUUAAUGCAAAAGGUACGAAUAUUGGCAGGUUAGCUAAUUUGAUGUUACAAUAAACAUGAAAUAAAGUUUGUGAAGACCUUAGUGCCAAAAAUACUUGCAUGCAUUAUUCAUCCAUGCUGUAUUAUAGUAUAGCAUGCAUGCAUGAUGCAUUCAAGUAUAAAAAAAAAGUUACAAAUGUUUAAUUAUACAAAAAGAUUAUGGAUGUGGUACUGCAAGUAUAUUCGAUUGAUUAUGCAAGUAAGUUGUCCUACUUUACAUCUUUGAAGACUAAUAAUAAUUGUAAUGAACAUAUCUCAGACAAUAUACACUCAGAUUUAUAUUUCAGUUAAAUAAUCACCACUUCCACAGCCACCUUGUCUCAAGCAUUAAAUCGCAUUCUAAAAUAUCUUUAUUCAAAUUAAGUGUGACUACUUUACCAAAAGACUCUAGAAUGGACCAAUUAAGUAAGAUGUCUAAAUCUAUAUCUUUUAUAUAGAACUCCUUUAUUUUUAGAUAAACCUGUUAAUUUUAUGACUUAUGAACAUAUUUAGCAAUGUAAUCCUUUUAGGAUAGACUUUU
rnacentral:lncRNA from 1 species